rnacentral:rRNA from 1 species
AUGAUUUGCACUAGGAGGGACAAGUCCAUUGCAGCCUACAUCCGGGAGUUGAACCAACACAUUCAUCGUCAGGAGAACCAGAUGUGCGCCAGCAUGAUAGACCUGAAGAAGGUGAUGACCAAGAACAUGGAGCUAGAAGAGGAACUCAAGUCUACACGCGAUGGAUAUGAAGAGGAAAUUGCAGUACUACUGGAGAAGAAUGAAGACCUGAAGAAGAAGCUAGGAAUAUUCAUGGGAGACCCUGCGCCAGGAGGUGAUGACCAUCCCAAAGACUACAUCAUCAUCGACGACACCGACUCCGACCGUGACAAUGAUGAUGAUUAUGAAGACGAAGCUGGAGCAGAUAUCAUGGAGUCUUCUUCCGAUCAAAAUUUCUAG